rnacentral:rRNA from 1 species
CGGGGGGGGCAAGCGUUGUUCGGAAUUACUGGGCGUAAAGGGCUCGUAGGCGGCCAACUAAGUCAGACGUGAAACCCCCAGGCUCAACCUGGGAACUGCGUCUGAUACUGGUUGGCUUGAAUCCGGGAGAGGGAUGCAGAAUUCCAGGUGUAGCGGUGAAAUGCGUAGAUAUCUGGAGGAAUACCGGUGGCGAAGGCGGCAUCCUGGACCGGCAUUGACGCUGAGGAGCGAAAGCCAGGGGAGCAAACGGGAUUAGAUACCCCGGUAGUCCUGGCCCUAAACGAUGAAUGCUUGGUGUAACGGGUAUCGAUCCCUGUUGUGCCGAAGCUAACGCAUUAAGCAUUCCGCCUGGGGAGUACGGUCGCAAGGCUG